UACGAAGGGGGCUAGCGUUGCUCGGAUUGACUGGGCGUAAAGGGCGCGUAGGCGGUUCGUACAGUCAGACGUGAAAUUCCUGGGCUCAACCUGGGGGCUGCGUUUGAUACGUGCGGACUUGAGUGCGGAAGAGGGUCGUGGAAUUCCCAGUGUAGAGGUGAAAUUCGUUGAUAUUGGGAAGAACACCGGUGGCGAAGGCGGCGACCUGGUCCGAUACUGACGCUGAGGCGCGAAAGCGUGGGGAGCAAACAGG
rnacentral:rRNA from 1 species